GACGAACGCUGGCGGCGUGCUUAACACAUGCAAGUCGAACGGAAAGGCCUGCUUUCCCUUGUGGAUUGCGGGUACUCGAGUGGCGAACGGGUGAGUAACACGUGAGUGAUCUACCCCCAACUUGGGUAUAAGCCUGGGAAACUGGGUCUAAUUCCCGAUAGGACUGCAGGGUGGUGCCUGUGGUGGAAAACGAUUUUCUAGUGGUUGGGGAUGAGCUCGCGGCCUAUCAGCUUGUUGGUGGGGUAAUGGCCUACCAAGGCGGCGACGGGUAGCCGGCCUGAGAGGGUGGACGGCCACAUUGGGACUGAGAUACGGCCCAGACUCCUACGGGAGGCAGCAGUGGGGAAUAUUGCACAGUGGGCGGAAGCCUGAUGCAGCGACGCCGCGUGGGGGAUGACGGCCUUCGGGUUGUAAACUCCUUUCGACCGCGAGGAAGCCACCUGGUUGGAAGGGUGGUGACGGUAGUGGUAGAAGAAGCACCGGCUAACUACGUG
rnacentral:rRNA from 1 species